rnacentral:rRNA from 1 species
GACGAACCGUGCGAACGUUGUUCGGAAUCACUGGGCUUAAAGGGCGCGUAGGCGGCAGACCAAGUCCGGGGUGAAAUCCUCCAGCUCAACUGGAGAAGUGCCUUGGAUACUGGAUUGCUCGAGGGAGGUAGGGGUCGAGGGAACUUCUGGUGGAGCGGUGAAAUGCGUUGAUAUCAGAAGGAACGCCGGUGGCGAAAGCGCUCGACUGGACCUUUUCUGACGCUGAGGCGCGAAAGCUAGGGGAGCAAACGGG